rnacentral:lncRNA from 1 species
AAAACAACCACAUAUGCUAAAUAAAAUUACUCAUCCGUUAUGCAUAAAGACUAAUUAAGUACUAGUUUAUUCUUAGGUUAUUCUUUUUCUCCCAAAUUUUAGUUUUGGUUUUCCCUCUUCAGUGCCGCCGCUGCUCCAUUCGCCACUGGUUCCUCCGGCAGCCCUGCUCCCUCUCGCCGGCGACCGCCGCCACUGCUCCUUCAUUCUUCCCCCUUCUUCGUUCUUAAUUUGUUUACUUCUUCUCCCUCCUUUUCUCUUGAUUUCCCCCAAAUUGCAAGGUAAGGUUUAUUUUUCCCCUAAAUUGCAAGUUCUACUAAAAUGUCAUUUUAGAUAACUGAUUUUAUUUUGACCAGACUAUCAUGGAUCUGGUAACUCACUGACCAAGGCAUCGGCGUAGGAACCCAGAAGAAGUACAAAGUUCACAUAAAAAUUCUCCUCAAUCGCACCACCCAAGAGAUAUGUUGGAAGAGUGAUAAUACUUAAUUUCCUAUGUUUGUGGGUUGUAGUGAAAUGGGUGUUUAGUAAUUAGAAUUUACAAUUAAACUUAUAAAACAUCCAACUCUCUCCUGUUUGCUUGCUACUAUACUUGCUGAUUAUAAAUGUUUGGGUUGUUUGACUAUACAUCCUGCACUCUACCUGUUUACUUCUGGGUUGACAUCGAUAUUUGGGUUGUUAUUAAUAAGGUCAUCGUCUUUUCAUCUGUUAUUAGUUGUUAUAAUGCAAUUUGGUUGUUGGUUUGUAACUGUAUGUGAGCAUUUCUGCUAAUAACAAUGGAGACAGGAUAUCGGUUGGACAUGUCAAAUAAAGUCUUUAGUUGUUUCGUAGUUUACACAGGUUCAUUCCUAUACCCUUUUAAGUAUUUCCUAUACAAUCAACUAGAAUUUUGGGUAAACACAAGGAAAUUUGAAUUCUAUUUGGAUAAAUAUCUCAUGAGGCUGAACUACAUCAUAUUUAAAUUAAGAAACUGAAUUUGUAUGAAAAGUUUGAAUUGUUUUGACUAUAAUAAGUGUAGAUUUUUUUUUUCUUACUGAGUUGGUUAGUCAAUUUAUUAAUGUAAGGACUAUAAAACUUCUAUCUGGUGGUCUAAAACUCAAAUAUGGCAAAACAUUAACAUAAUUGGCUUCAUCUAUUUGUUGAUUAGGGAUUCAUUAGCUAUUCAAGACUCCAUUCAGGAGAUUAAUUACUAAACAUUAAAUUAGUAUCAUUCCUUCAACUCCUAUAUCUAGCAAAUGUUUGUUGUCCCAAUAUACUAAUGCCCAAGUAAGCAUUAGUAUAUUGGCACUAUUGUAACAUACAAAUGCUUGACCCAAAGACUCUGCUUCAUUGCUAGCAUACAAGGCUUGCCCAAAUGUAUCUAUAUAUAGCUGAUUUCCAUCAGACCUUAUCUUAUAUCGUGUUUUUUUCUUCUGCACAUAAUUCUUUUGCAUUACAGAUCAGCGAAGUAUCUUCAAUUUUUUCCCUUCGAUUUCUUAUUCAAUUAUACAAUAAUUUCUUCAGUUCUUUACAUUAAACAUUCAAACAAAUCCUCUGUUGUUAUUGUUAGAUUUAGAUUUUUUGGUUUCCGUUAUUAUCCAUGAAUUUUAAUUUUUGGGUAUUUGAGGCUUAUUUUGAAAAAAAAAAUGUAUAAAGGGAAAAAUUGACAAGUUUAUCGAUAUUACAGGAAUCUGGUCAUUAACAACUACAAAUAAAUAAAUUUUUCUCUCCGGUCUUCUGACAUAAGAGGAUGAUGAUAUGUGAUGCGAUGGUGUUACUUAUAUUUUGCGUUAUCUUUCUUCUAUUAAUAUUUAUUAACCUCAUAUGGCUCCGAGCAUGAUAAAUUAGAGGUGUUGAUUAGCUCUUUUCAUAAUUAAUCUUCAUUUAUAUAACAAUAUUGUAUGUCAAGUCUUUGUUUGUUAUGAACAGAGUACAUAACAUGCAUUCAAUAAUAAUAACUACUUUGUAUACAUGUUCCUCCAAACAAUAACCUUUACUAGCGUGGGAUUUGGCUACAUUGGCACUAUUGUUCCAAACCUCUUAGACACAAGAAGCAUCACCUACAUACAUACAUUCACGCACUUCUGUCUACCAAUCUAGUCCGUGAAUCUUUCUCCUUUACACAAAUAUGUUUAUGAGUGGUUUCUGUUCAACCUUUUUGCAUUUGCACCAUUUCGGAUCAUACGAGUAAAAGCAAAUUGUUCAUCAUGUUGAGCAGAAAAGUUAAACCUUAAGGCCCUUUGAAAAUCUUUUGUGACAGUUAGGGAAGCACCAGAUAAUAUGAAAAAAAUUUCGUAGUGGUAUUAGCACACAUACAGUCAAGAAAGGUUGAAGAAAGCAGAAACAGCUACUGCAUUUUAGAUAAUAGAUUAAUGUCCUGUUAAAAUGUGUGAUUCUAUUAUUUGUCAUUGAUACAUUUUGUGUUUUUUAUUCCAAUUAUUUUUCCUGUAUCAGUUAUUUAUAUGUUAGUUUCUUCUCAGUUUGGAGAGUGAAAUAAGUUUUUAGCAAAAGGGAAAUGGUCAAUCUUGUAAUCAAAAAGUAUUUGCCAUUUUGUAGUAUUUAUUAAGUUACUUGGUUAUAUAUAGCAGCAAUAGUUUGGACACAAAAGAAUACUAAAAAAUUCUUCUAACACUAAUUUCAUCUGUUUGUACCCUAGUUACAAAGAUUUAGCCUCAGGCAUGUCAAUAUUAAUAUUUCUAUUAUUAACUUUUCUACGAGGUAUGAGCACUAUGAAAUAUCCUAUUGUAGUCAGCAUUGCGCGAAAUAUUUCAGUAGCCACAUGUGGCUAGUAUACCCACAUCAUGCUGAUGCAAUACACAGAGGAGAAGAAGGGACAGUAAAACAACAAAGAGGAAGAGGGGAAGAAAAUAUCAUGAGCAUGCAAAAAACAAUCAGAUCGUUAAUUAGUGGCAUAUAUAGUAGGUAAUGUUUGACGUUUAAUUCAUUAUAUUGAGUACUACAACUUAUUUAUUUAUUUAUUUAUCUGUCUAUAGGUGUAGUUAUUCUGUAAUGUAAUUUUUGAAUAUAGGUAUAGUGGAUACUUGAAGUAGGUGUGUGCAUCUCCAUUUGCUUGCUUGAGACCGCUACUAUUUUUGUAAGUGCAUGCAUGUCCUUUAAUUUAAUGGUCGAUGGCUAGCUCGAUAUGUAAAUUGGUAUGGAAAUUAUUUUAAUACCACGUUCUUUUGUUUAAUGUUCACUUGAAUGUUAUGUCGUUUCCUUGAGACAAACACCAGGAUGUUAUGUUGUUCACCAGGAUUUUAUAAGAAAGGUGCAUGCUUACUUUCCACUAAAGUUAACGGUCAAAUGGAGAGAUUUAAAAUGUUUUAAAUGCUCAAAGAAUUUAGAAUUUUAUUGACCAUGCAAUGCAUUGCUCCAUCACUGCUAUCUUUUGUAUAAUUGUAUCUAAGGAUUUUAAUAAAAUGGCGCUAGUGUGUUUAGUGCUUCUCUGGAUUGUGCUUAAUAGCAUAUUUGUGGUCUCACCAGGUGGUAGAAUUUUUUGUUUGUUGUUUUGCCAUGAAAGACAUACAAUAUUUACAAACAGGUAUAUAAGUCUUUUAAUCUUAUAAACUUGUGGAAGAGGUAGGUAGCUUACACAGAGGUCAAUGAUUUUCCUCCUUUAGGUAGUUGAUGUUAUGCGCCAAACAGGUAUGAUUGGAACACUACCCCCACAAUUUUUUUCUGUAACAAUAACAACCGUAAGUAUAUAAGUCUUAUUUUUAGCAUCAAAUCAAAUUAAGUAUAGAAGUCUUAUUUUUAACACUACAUUUCAACUCACUUGCUCUUAUUACCGUAAAUGAAAUUACUAAAUCUGGUUGAUCAAUUUUGAUACUUACAGGUGCAGGUAUUGUCUCAGAUUGAUCGUUGUAAUAUAGUGGUUGGAAACAGAGCUAUUGCUGCUCAAUAAUCUCCAUGACUGAGCCAAAAGGGAUGUAUAUAGAAAUUUUCUUUGUUGAUCAGUGUAUUUUCUUAUUCUUGACAUCUUACAUUAAAUUGAUUGCUUGCUGAUUCAUGCCAACUUCAGUUAUUUGUCAAAUUUAAAAUCUGACAUAAAAAUAUCAUGCUAGGUAACACAUGCUAGGAAGAAAGUAAAUAAGUCAGUUACAUUGAUUCAAUAAUGUUCUCUCACGCUGCUUCUUUACUUUUUCUCUGUCAUGAAAUUGAAUUUGUGUAGUUUAAAAAUGUUAGACCCCUCUUGUUUUGUAGGUUUUGUUUAGAUUUAGCAUAUUUUACUUGUUAUGCUAUCUGAAUGGGAUUUUUGAACCAACUGCAAGAGCUACUUGUUGAUGCACAUGCAGAUCCCUAUUAGACCUCACAACAGAUAAGGCUGCAAUUAUUGAUUCAAUGGAUGUGAGGACAUUCACCUUGGUUCUUUUACAAGAAUAGUAUACUUAAGCUAAAGCCAAGAAUGUAUUUGCAAAGAACAAGGAGACCUUUCAGCUAGAAAUUCAGAAGAAAUAUGAAGAGAUCUUGGGACGGCUUGAUGUAAAGCAGAAAAUAGAGGCGCUGAAGGAUGAAAUCAGAAACUUUGGUGCGUUUGGAGUUUACGUGAAAAUAGUUCAUGCACAUGGUGGUCAUUGGCUCAUUACUUAGCACUUGAUUGUGAAAAUAGUUCAUGCACAUGUUCAUGUAUUUAAGUAUUAAUUAAAUGCGUUCUUCUGUUGGUAAGGCUGAGUUUGUUACUCAGUUCUGCUAGUGUUGUUGUAAUAACACGAUGAUUUUAUUUAAAGGGUUGGAAUUUAUUGGUUAUCAUCUUGGUGUAAUCUUUUUUCUUAUUUCUAGAUCUAUAAUUUUAUAUUUAGUUUUUCA